GGGGGCGAUUGGGCUCGACGGGGGUAGUGAAGGUCAGGUUGCAUGCCAUGGUUCCAUCACCAUGUAAAAAGAUGGAAAACUUACAAACGCCAACAACGAACUGGCACUUGCUGCUUAACUAAUAGCAGCUCGCUCCUGUUAGGGUUUCUAUACCUAACAGUCAGGCGUCAUAAAAUAGAAUGCGGUCAGAUGAAGCCCUUAAGUUUGACUUAAGUUUUAAGGGAUUGGUCAUAAGAAGCCUUGCCUGAGGGCAAACUUAUGACUGAAAUAAAAAAAUCAGGCUAAACAUGUAGAUACCUGAAGGUAGCGCUUUCGGACGCGGGUUCGAUUCCCGCCGCCUCCACCA
rnacentral:tmRNA from 1 species